rnacentral:rRNA from 1 species
UACGAGAGGUCCAACCGUUAUUCGGAAUCACUGGGCUUACAGAGUUCGUAGGCGGUCCGGAAAGUGGGGUGUGAAAGCCCUCGGCUCAACCGAGGAAUUGCGCUCCAAACUACCGGGCUAGAGGAAGAUAGAGGUGAGCGGAACUGAUGGUGGAGCGGUGAAAUGCGUUGAUAUCAUCAGGAACACCGGAGGCGAAGGCGGCUCACUGGGUCUUUUCUGACGCUGAGGAACGAAAGCUAGGGGAGCAAACGGG